CGCAAGACCAAAGUGGGGGACCUUCGGGCCUCAUGCCAUCAGAUGUGCCCAGAUGGGAUUAGCUAGUAGGUGGGGUAAUGGCUCACCUAGGCGACGAUCCCUAGCUGGUCUGAGAGGAUGACCAGCCACACUGGAACUGAGACACGGUCCAGACUCCUACGGGAGGCAGCAGUGGGGAAUAUUGCACAAUGGGCGCAAGCCUGAUGCAGCCAUGCCGCGUGUAUGAAGAAGGCCUUCGGGUUGUAAAGUACUUUCAGCGAGAGGAAGGCGUUAAGGUUAAUAACCUUGGCGAUUGACGUUACUCGCAGAAGAAGCACCGGCUAACUCCGUGCCAGCAGCCGCGGUAAUACGGAGGGUGCAAGCGUUAAUCGGAAUUACUGGGCGUAAAGCGCACGCAGGCGGUCUGUCAAGUCGGAUGUGAAAUCCCCGGGCUCAACCUGGGAACUGCAUUCGAAACUGGCAGGCUAGAGUCUUGUAGAGGGGGGUAGAAUUCCAGGUGUAGCGGUGAAAUGCGUAGAGAUCUGGAGGAAUACCGGUGGCGAAGGCGGCCCCCUGGACAAAGACUGACGCUCAGGUGCGAAAGCGUGGGGAGCAUAACAGGAUUAGAUACCCUGGUAGUCCACGCCGUAAACGAUGUCGACUUGGAGGUUGUGCCCUUGAGGCGUGGCUUCCGGAGCUAACGCGUUAAGUCGACCGCCUGGGGAGUACGGCCGCAAGGUUAAAACUCAAAUGAAUUGACGGGGGCCCGCACAAGCGGUGGAGCAUGUGGUUUAAUUCGAUGCAACGCGAAGAACCUUACCUACUCUUGACAUCCAGAGAACUUAGCAGAGAUGCUUUGGUGCCUUCGGGAACUCUGAGACAGGUGCUGCAUGGCUGUCGUCAGCUCGUGUUGUGAAAUGUUGGGUUAAGUCCCGCAACGAGCGCAACCCUUAUCCUUUGUUGCCAGCGGUCCGGCCGGGAACUCAAAGGAGACUGCCAGUGAUAAACUGGAGGAAGGUGGGGAUGACGUCAAGUCCAUGGCCCUUACGAGUAGGGCUACACACGUGCUACAAUGGCAUAUACAAAGAGAAGCGACCUCGCGAGAGCAAGCGGACCUCAUAAAGUAUGUCGUAGUCCGGAUUGGAGUCUGCAACUCGACUCCAUGAAGUCGGAAUCGCUAGUAAUCGUAGAUCAGAAUGCUACGGUGAAUACGUUCCCGGGCCUUGUACACACCGCCCGUCACACCAUGGGAGUGGGUUGCAAAAGAAGUAGGUAGCUU
rnacentral:rRNA from 1 species